GAAGUCCUGGCCUCAGUGGCCUCCCAGAAGUGCAUACUAUUAUCAGGAAAGCUUGGCCAGUCCCCAAGAUGAAGAAAGAUACGAAUUUCACUUCCUGACAUUGUCAGUGUGAGUGAAUCCAGGCUGGAGUUCAAUGGCGCGAUCUUGGCUCACCGCAACCUCCGCCUCCUGGGUUCAGGCAAUUCUCCUACCUCAGCCUCCCGAGUAGCUGGGACUACAGGUAAAGGACUGCUGCCCAGAGAGGUGAUAAGCUGGAGUCACAAAAGCUACAGAAGGAACGAUUUUAAGAAGAAAACAAUGAUUGACCCUGGCAUGCCUUGCAAAGUGAUUAUAUCAGAGAAAAGGCCACUGGAUUGCACGUAGGACAGUAUUCAACGACCUUACCAAACCCAGUUUCAGUGCAAUGGAAGGAGCAGAACUAGAUUCCAGAGGUGGAAAGAAAUGGGAUUAACCAUAGCCACACCCAUGCCUACAGUUAAUAUCUACAUCACAACAGAAAAUCUAGGCGAGAGUGCAUGUAGACGUCAUGACAAACACUGAUUUAUUUAUUCCUUCAUUCAGAAAUACUUAUUGCAUGCCUAUUUUGUACUUGCAAUGACAAAAGAGAUAUAAAACAUAUAGUUGAGAGCACGGUAGUAGACAAUAAACAAAGAAACUUAUAACCUGAUGUUUGGUGA
rnacentral:lncRNA from 13 species